AUUCGUCCAAGGGAAGCAGAGGACAGUGGCGGACGGGUGAGUAACGCGUGAGGAACCUGCCCCAUACACCGGAAUAGCUCCUGGAAACGGGUGGUAAUGCCGCAUAACACAUAGGGGUCGCAUGGCCUUUAUGUCAAAGAUUUAUCGCUGAAAGAUGGCCUCGCGUCUGAUUAGCUAGUUGGUGAGGUAACGGCCCACCAAGGCGACGAUCAGUAGCCGGACUGAGAGGUUGAACGGCCACAUUGGGACUGAGAUACGGCCCAGACUCC
rnacentral:rRNA from 1 species